AUUUUCUACAUUCGGGGCAACCCUGAUCAAGACAUCCCGCAUGUGCGAUGCAGGCNUUNNGGUUGNANAGCACUUAUGGCAGGNNNNNAAAGGCUCUGGCUAAUACCUGGAGCUGCUGACGGUACCUGCAGAAUAAGCACCGGCUAACUACGUGCCAGCAGCCGCGGUAAUACGUAGGGUGUAAGCGUUAAUCGGAAUUACUGGGCGUAAAUCAUGCGCAGGCGGUUCGGCAAGAAGGAUGUGAUAACCCAGGGCUUAACCUUGGAACUGCAAUCUUAACUGCCGGGCUAGAGUAUGUCAGAGGGGGGUAGAAUUUCGCGUGUAGCAGUGAAAUGCGUAGAGAUGCGGAGGAAUACCGAUGGCGAAGGCAGACCCCUGGGAUAAUACUGACGCUCAUGCACGAAAGCGUGGGGAGCAAAC
rnacentral:rRNA from 1 species